rnacentral:rRNA from 1 species
UACGUAGGGCGCAAGCGUUGUCCGGAAUUAUUGGGCGUAAAGAGCUCGUAGGCGGCCUGUUGCGUCCGCUGUGAAAUCCCCGGGGCUCAACCCCGGGCCUGCAGUGGAUACGGGCUGGCUAGAGGCAGGCAGGGGAGAACGGAAUUCCUGGUGUAGCGGUGAAAUGCGCAGAUAUCAGGAGGAACACCGGUGGCGAAGGCGGUUCUCUGGGCCUGUACUGACGCUGAGGUGCGAAAGCGUGGGGAGCAAACAGG